UUCCUAGGCUUGCGGCAUCUUGCUCGCCCCUCUUCUGCCUCACCUCAUUCUCUUACCACGUCAGACUUCCUACCGUCAUGUGCCUACUGGCUCUCCUCAUGAGCUGGAAACAGCGCGCUUCGUGCGCUACUCCAGCCAUACUUGUUCGGAUCGGAUCGAUGGGCGGGGCACGCGUCACCGACAUGUCGGCAAGAAAGAGUAGGGACGAUCUGGUUUACUUUAACACUGAAACCUGUGGCGUUUGUAUCAGCUUGUGGCAAGAGUGCUAUAUGCCGAAGGCUUUAUCUACUCAUGACAUUUUUUCUCACCUGGUUUCCAUGAGCAAAUUCCAAAACCCGUGCCACUCAGAGGAUUAAGAUAUACUGUGCAGUAAGAACACUGCAAUUACCAGUUGCAUGAUUUUUUAUUGAACCACUGAACUGACUGACAGAGGAAUUACCCAGCACUUCUGGAAGCUGGAAGAAAAAAAUGGCUUCUACAGCUUCAAAAAUACGUUUUUGAAAACUUCCAAAAUGUCACUACAUUGGCCAAAAAUCUCCAACCGUGGUUAGUUUGGUGAGUGUUCAUUUCUCAGCUUCUGACUGAACUAUCUUCACAAUUUAGACAAUGAUCAGUUCAUAAUUGCGGCUCUGGCAACCAUUCUUCCAUGAUAUUCAUGGACAAGACAACAACAACAUCGAUUCAUAAUUAAAAGAUCUACAAUUUUAUACAUGAAAUAAAUGCUUACAAUAAAGUGUUCAUAAAUUCAUUUAAAAAAUACACAAUAACAUUAUUAUUUAAAAUGCAACA